GAGAGAGAGACAACAAACGUUAGUCAAGACGUCAUCUGCAUCACAUGUAACUUUUAACAUUUUUGCUUUGUUGGAAGCUGGAACCUUCAGAAUGCUAAUGAAAUGUUGUUCUUUUAGUUAUCUUCUAUGGAUUUAUUUUAAAGCUCUUGAACAGUCACUUGAUUUGACACAAUCCCAGCAGUCAAAUGUAGGGGGCGUGGUACACACAUGACAGUUGCUGGGUCUAUCACAGGGCCACAAACCACCUUCUACGUACAAUAAUUAAAACUAAUCUGAAUGUUAUUGGACCAAAGAACCAGUGUGUUUUUAUUUGCCUGUUUUUUUUUCACUUUCACUUUUGAAGGGCUUUUUCUUGGACUUUACUGAUACUAUGCUAUGCUAAUAUGCAUUUAAUUUCUUUCCUCCUCAUCUAGUUUCCUGUGUCGGGGGAUCCACUAUCCAUGAUUCUCAUCCUGAGCUUUACAACAUUCACAGCACAUCCUGGGAAUGGCGUGGUUUGACUCACCGACCCAUAGAGCUCUCCUUUCUCAUUCAUGCCGAGGUAGAGUCCGGCAUCCACCCCUCUGAUGCUGACCAGACCCACUGCCAGGCUGAUGAACUCCAGGAUACCUGAGAUGGUGAGAGACCUCAGAAUUCUAUCCUCUGUGGACUGUUGGAGCUGCACACUGUUGGUCACUGAGUGUCAUUAACAAGACAAACACACAACUGAAAAAGGCCUGCUGUCACAGGAUUGAACCUGACACCCCGGAGAGGGUAACACACAAUCCCUUUUACCUCCUCUGUGAUGAGCUGAUGCACGAAGCAUCGACAGGAUCCAGCUUUCAGUGCGACUGACUGAAAGCCAUUGUGCAAAUAUCAGUCAUAGCUCCAAUAUUUUGUGAACAACCGUCCUCACACUGAGGCUGCUGUGAGAUUGUCAUAUCCUUCCUAAUCCGUUAGAUAGGCUAUGACAAUCAUUCAAGGAAAAUCCAGCUGCAGAUUUGAGCACCUCAACACUUUCAUUUGAGUAGAUAACUGGUCAUCUAAAAAUAACUAUAGCUCGUCACAGAUUUAAUUAAUAUAUUUGAUUAUUGAUUAAUUAUAAAAGCAAUCCGGGACUUGAAUAAUUAAUAAUUAUAUGUGUCCAUAUUGACAAACAAUAACACAACC